AGAAUCAACGCUGGCGGCGUGCCUAACACAUGCAAGUCGCACGAGAAAGGGUAGCAAUACCUGAGUAAAGUGGCGCACGGGUGAGUAACACGUGAAUAAUCUACCUCCGAGUGGGGAAUAACUGAGAGAAAUCUUAGCUAAUACCGCAUAACACUUACGAGUCAAAGCAGCAAUGCGCUUGGAGAGGAGUUCGCGGCAGAUUAGUUAGUUGGCGGGGUAAUGGCCCACCAAGACGAUGAUCUGUAUCCGGCCUGAGAGGGCGCACGGACACACUGGAACUGAAACACGGUCCAGACUCCUACGGGAGGCAGCAGUGGGGAAUUUUGCGCAAUGGGGGAAACCCUGACGCAGCAACGCCGCGUGGAGGAUGAAGCCCCUUGGGGUGUAAACUCCUUUCGAUAGGGAAGAUAAUGACGGUACCUAUAGAAGAAGCCCGGCUAACUUCGCGCCAGCAGCCGC
rnacentral:rRNA from 1 species